rnacentral:lncRNA from 1 species
AUGACUAUUAGGGGAGAAAGAAGCAGUGUGCUCAGGAGGGAUCUGAUCAAACUCUGUUAUCAACAGACAGCGUUAGUCCAUAGAGCUGUAAUCCAAAGUAAAGCUCUUUGCACCUCCCUGGAGCUGGAGAGUUUAGGUAGGAGCAGGAGUCUGCUGGUAGGAACUCCAAGCAGGAUGAAAAUCUCAGUUUUUUUCUUUCUUUUUUGCUAUGUGUGAUUCAUUUUCAUGGGAUUGUAAGGAUGGUCUCUUGUGAUUUCAGUCUUCUUUCCUGUAAACAAGGGCAUUGGUCUCUGUUGUCUAUUCUUGCUUUUCUUACCCUAAUGAGUGUGCAUUAUAAGCAGAGGUGUACAACAUAAAUAGAACCUUGUAAGUACUUGUAAAUAAAGACUCUUAGAAACCCUUUAUAGGGAAGCCCUAUAGACAUUAAUAGAUAGUGAACACUUUUCUAUGGGAAUUGUUUUUCCACUGGUCUAUACAAUUCAAUAGUGAAUUACAUUCCCGCAAUCAAAUCCCAAAGGAUGAUUCAGAAAACCAUUAGAAAGGAUCUAAUUCUCUGUAAUUUUCUGCAGUAAUUGAGAUAAAAGCCUUUCAGGGUGUCCUCUAUUACAGUUCAUGGGAUUUUUCCAUGGCAAAAUAAAUGAUCAGUUUAAAUUCUCCUUGGUUACUUAAGCAAAGUAAAGCUGGUAAAUGCUGGAUGCUUAUUCAGAUAGAAUUUCCUUUCAUUUCCAUGGGAAAUUUACUUAAUUUUGGGAGACAACAAGGGACAAGGAUUAGGAGGGCUGUUUGUGAUUUUUACUGUGGGACAUUAAACUCCACCUUCUGCUAGAGCCAAACAACCACAGAGAUUUUGCUACUUUUGUUCUCUGUGCUGGCAGGGAUUUGUGCUUUGCGAGGUGCUGCUCACAGCAGCACUGCAUUAACACAUGGAAGCAGUGAACUCAGAGCUCUGAUGAUCAUGGCAUUUCUGGACACUUGCAAAGUGCUAAUUGAAAAAACAUGACUAUUUUCUUCCCAUCAUGUGCUUGAAAAUCCUUCUGAGGACCAGCUUUGCUCCAUGCCCACCUGUAUCUCUUUCAGGAAGCAGCAGUGGUUUUACUAAUGUGUUGAACUGAGCUCCUGAGAAGCCUAAAUGUUUCUUUGUCCCUUUUUGCUCUGUUUGCUGCCCCAUGAGAGGCACUAAUGGCCUCUGCAGGGAACUCACUGCAGAGCCUUGGGAAGAGGUCACAC